rnacentral:lncRNA from 1 species
CCGUAAUACACGGUGGCCUGCUAACUAACUCGGCUCAGAAAGAGGUCCAAUCACCCUAUCAGUUAAGGUAAUCUUCGUCCAACAGUAUGUCCAUCUUUUCUAAUGUCUUUGUGUUUUUAACCACAAGUUCCACCAAUGAAGUCACAUGCUUUGACUCUAAAUUCCCAACGGCACUUGUUCCAGAAUAUAAUUUUUUCUUGAAUAUAAUUUUACAUUAUUUAAAAAAAAAAAUGGGAAAAAAAAAUUAUAUAUCUACAAUGAUAUUGAUAUUCUUAUUAUACUUUGUUUGACGUAUGUGUUAAAUUGCAGUUGAUACUGUAUAUUGGUUUAAGUUGAAAUCGGUUGAGUAAGAGAAGUUCGUCAUCGUUGUUGAUCAAUUUGUAUUUCUAAUGUUAGUCUGAAUCUGAUAUUUUGAGAGUAGAAACUAUGGAUUUAAACUUUGAUAAAUAAAAAUCUCAUAUAUCUAGUAGUAACCAUUAAAAUAGAGAAAACAUAAUAAUGAUCUUUUGGUUUGCAAAACAACGAAGAAUGGUUACAAAAUGAUGAACUGCAUGCAUUAUCAAUGCUGAUCACUUGAUGGAACUCACAACAUAUUAGGUCGUAGAUCAUGUACACUUGUGAACAUAUUACUCUAUUUUUAUUGGCUAGACUAAUAUGAGAGGAAUAAUGAGGUUCAGCCCUAGGGAUGUCUUGUUCCAGCUUGUAUGUUUGUUUAAGUGAGGCUUGAUGUAAAAUGUUCAAGAUAAAAUACAAUAAGACUAGAGACUAAUAGAGACCUAUGAUUCACACCAUUCAUCUGAUUUGCACGGUUUGGUGAACAGCGCAACAUUGAUGGAGACGUUUUUGCUAUGAGAAAGUGUUGGAAGGACCAAAUCCGUAAACUUAAACUUAAGGUAACGUUCGUCCAACAGUAUUUCCAUCUUUUCUAGUGUCUUUGUGUUCUUAACCACAAGUUCCACCAAUGAAGUCACAUCAGGUAACGUGCUGAUCACGUCUACUACUACUUCUUCUUUGGUUUUCCGACAACGUUUUAAAGCGGCGGUCGAGCUCUCGCCGGCCAUCUUUGUGUUUUGAACUAUUUGCGAUUUUCUUAGGGUUCUGAUUUAUGAACCAACUGAAUCAUAAUAUAUAACUAGUGAUGGACCCGCACGUACGUGCAGGGUUAUUUUUACAAAAUUACGAUUUUUUUAGUAGAUGCUAUUUUGGUAAAAUUUUGUUAUAUGUGUAUAUUUGAUAAACUAUUGUAAAAUAUUACAUACAGUUGUAAAAUAUAGAUAUUGUAUUACAUAAUACAAUUUUAAAAUUAUUUAAAUGAAAAUGAUAAGUGAUA